AGUGAACGCUGGCGGUAGGCCUAACACAUGCAAGUCGAACGGCAGCACAGUAAGAGCUUGCUUUUACUGGUGGCGAGUGGCGGACGGGUGAGGAAUACAUCGGAAUCUACUUUUUCGUGGGGGAUAACGUAGGGAAACUUACGCUAAUACCGCAUACGACCUACGGGUGAAAGCAGGGGAUCUUCGGACCUUGCGCGAUUGAAUGAGCCGAUGUCGGAUUAGCUAGUUGGCGGGGUAAAGGCCCACCAAGGCGACGAUCCGUAGCUGGUCUGAGAGGAUGAUCAGCCACACUGGAACUGAGACACGGUCCAGACUCCUACGGGAGGCAGCAGUGGGGAAUAUUGGACAAUGGGCGCAAGCCUGAUCCAGCCAUACCGCGUGGGUGAAGAAGGCCUUCGGGUUGUAAAGCCCUUUUGUUGGGAAAGAAAAGCAGCAGGUUAAUACCCCGCUGUUCUGACGGUACCCAAAGAAUAAGCACCGGCUAACUUCGUG
rnacentral:rRNA from 1 species